rnacentral:rRNA from 1 species
UGAGGAAUAUUGGUCAAUGGGCGGAAGCCUGAACCAGCCAUGCCGCGUGACGGAAGACGGCCCUAUGGGUCUUAAACGUCUUUGGUCCCGGAGCAAUAAGAGCCACGCGUGGCUCGAUGAGAGUACGGGAAGAACAAGCAUCGGCUAACUCCGUGCCAGCAGCCGCGGUAAUACGGAGGAUGCGAGCGUUAUCCGGAUUUAUUGGGUUUAAAGGGUGCGUAGGCGGACCGUUAAGUCAGUGGUAAAAUUGAGAGGCUCAACCUCUUCCGGCCAUUGAAACUGGCGGACUUGAGUGAGCGAGAAGUAUGCGGAAUGCGUGGUGUAGCGGUGAAAUGCAUAGAUAUCACGCAGAACUCCGAUUGCGAAGGCAGCAUACCGGCGCUCAACUGACGCUGAG